AGUCCUAAAGCUGGAGAAAGACCUGCUGCAGAUGAUGUCUGCUUUGGAUAAAGGAGGUGAUGAUCAGCUGAUUGGGUUCUUGGCUCCCAUCUCACUCAGCAACUUGAGUCCAAAAAACCAAGAAGUCUUUGAAAAACAGGUUUGUAAAUUUUAAAUAAACAUGUAAAACAUGUGCUGCCAAAAUAUGCCUGUUUUAAUAUUGGUUUGAACUCAGAAGAAGGAAAACAAUGAAUCAGAGCUGAACAAGUUGAGAGAGGCUCUGAAAGAAGCUGAGGCGAGGGCCAAAACCCACGAAGAAGAGAGAAACAAAGCUCUCAGUGAUCUUCGGAGAGCUGAAGAGACAAAACGGAUGAUGAGUCAUAAAAUAGAGGAGAUGGAAACGGGGUUUGAAGUGCAUGAGGAGCUGAGAGAAGCCAGCAACCAGAUCAGCCAAGCUUAUCAGGUCAGUAAAAACUCCCCUUAUUAGAUCAACCAACGCCUUUCUCAGUCAGUCCAAAUAAAAUAUGCUUUUGUUUUUGACAAAAGCUAUAAAAUGUUUUUUUUAUGAUGUCAGCCUCAAACAUCUCAUAGUAAAUCAAACUAGAAUCCAUGUUGGAUAAAAAUGUUUUCAAAUUCCACCAGGACAAAGCUAUUUUUUCCACACAUGUGCUGAAGUUGGAAAAUGAUGUCAAAUAACUAAAAACCAAGCUGAGAGAAGCUCUGUGUGCCAACGAUCACCUGAUCCAGGUAGCAUGAAGCUCUCUUGUGUCAUAAACUUUCAUUGAAAUUUACCUUAAACCUUUUAUAAAUGCUAUUAAUCACGUUUAGGAGAGGGAGGAGCGCCUUCACAGAGCCCAGAACCUGGAGGAGCCACUGGAGAAAACCAUAAGAAACUCACCUGGCCCAGAGACCCCAAAAAAUCACAACUCUGAAUGGAAAAGGGAGGACUUGGACGUUCUCCAAGAGGUUUGGAGUUUAAAAAGGAUUAUUUAAAAAUGAAUCAAGUUCAUUUAAAUGUGUUUAAUGUGGUUUUGGAGCAGAAAAAUGAAAAGCUGGAAAAAAAAGCUGAACUGAUCCAGAAGAGCCUUGACACAUGUCAGCGUCAGCUGCAGGAGCUGAACAAGGAGAAAGUCACAAACUCAAAACUGAUCUCAGAUCUGGAGGCAGAGCGCUCUCAGCUGAUCAGAGAGAAAGAGGAGCUGCUGACCAAAAUAAACCAAUGUGCACAAGAAACGGAGGAAAAGAGCUGCCAGCACAGGAAAUCCUUGGAAGUUUUAGAGUUAGAAGUUCAGAAAGUGCACGAUCAGUGUUCGGUUUUAGAGGCUGGAGUCAAAGACAAGGAGAGGAUGCUGCACCUUCAGGAGGAGGAGUUUAACAAACAAGAUGACAUGAGGGUCAGAUGCAUUGAUGAGCUGAAAGCUGUGGCUUCACACUGGACUGAGAAGUGGCAAAACGCGGCUCUGACCCUUCAGGCCACACAGAACCAAUUAGAAGAACUCACAAGGAGGACUUCUGCAGAUCAAAUGGAGUCUGGCUCAGAGCUGAGGGCUGAGCUUCAAAACAACAAACCAGAGCUGGAGCAGGAACCAAGCAGGGCUCAGAGCCAUCAGGCACAAGGGAGGCACUAA
ensembl:lncRNA